rnacentral:snRNA from 1 species
GAAUGUGAGGAUGAUCUGUCUGCAACCUCUGUCACUCCACUAAUCGCCAGAGUUGAUUCAGCUCUUGGGCUGGCUGGGCUAUGGGGGGUGUCCCUCUCCUCCCUCGUGGUUCCAUGUGUGUCCCUCUGAAGCUUGGUUAAAAAACACAAGAACCUUCCCCAAAUAGAGGAGGACUGGUCCUCAGACAAGGGUGAGAGUAGCUGCGCUCCCCUGCUAGAGCCUCCUAACAAGCUCCCAAAUGUCAAACAGAAAAGAACAGAAACUUGAUCAGACCUCCUAGAGUUAGUUGGCUUACUCA